rnacentral:rRNA from 1 species
AUUGAACGCUGGCGGCAGGCUUAACACAUGCAAGUCGAGCGGGGUGAUGGUGCUUGCACUAUCACUUAGCGGCGGACGGGUGAGUAAUGCUUAGGAAUCUGCCUAUUAGUGGGGGACAACAUCUCGAAAGGGAUGCUAAUACCGCAUACGUCCUACGGGAGAAAGCAGGGGAUCACUUGUGACCUUGCGCUAAUAGAUGAGCCUAAGUCGGAUUAGCUAGUUGGUGGGGUAAAGGCCUACCAAGGCGACGAUCUGUAGCGGGUCUGAGAGGAUGAGCCGCCACACUGGGACUGAGAGACGGCCCAGACUCCUACGGGAGGCAGCAGUGGGGAAUAUUGGACAAUGGGGGGAACCCUGAUCCAGCCAUGCCGCGUGUGUGAAGAAGGCCUUAUGGUUGUAAAGCACUUUAAGCGAGGAGGAGGCUCCUUUGGUUAAUACCCAAGAUGAGUGGACGUUACUCGCAGAAUAAGCACCGGCUAACUCUGUGCCAGCAGCCGCCGUAA